AGCGAACGCUGGCGGCAGGCUUAACACAUGCAAGUCGAACGGGCUUCUUCGGAAGUCAGUGGCAGACGGGUGAGUAACACGUGGGAACGUGCCCUUCGGUUCGGAAUAACUCAGGGAAACUUGAGCUAAUACCGGAUACGCCCUUAUGGGGAAAGGUUUACUGCCGAAGGAUCGGCCCGCGUCUGAUUAGCUUGUUGGUGGGGUAACGGCCUACCAAGGCGACGAUCAGUAGCUGGUCUGAGAGGAUGAUCAGCCACACUGGGACUGAGACACGGCCCAGACUCCUACGGGAGGCAGCAGUGGGGAAUAUUGGACAAUGGGCGCAAGCCUGAUCCAGCCAUGCCGCGUGAGUGAUGAAGGCCUUAGGGUUGUAAAGCUCUUUUGUCCGGGACGAUAAUGACGGUACCGGAAGAAUAAGCCCCGGCUAACUUCGU
rnacentral:rRNA from 1 species